CCCAUCCGGUUUAUCUGUCUGGGUUCGAAACACACGCGCUGGGCUUAAUGUGUGUUGAUGGAGGCAGGUUAGGACCCCAAAACGUGUGCGUGUGUGCCAUGCAUGUCGAGAGGGGAGGAGGUUGUGGGUCUGUUUGUGAAUUACCCUCAGGGGAGUGAAACAGGCUUGUGGCAAUUUUGUGACACAAAUAUACACCUGCCAACACAUGGACAAAGCAGGUGACCGAGCAAAAUAACACCACAGCAGCGAUAAGAACAAAGGCUUUGGGAUGGGAGGAGGGUGUGCCUCAGGACAGAGAGGGGUUUUCUGGGUCCCCUGCUGAACUGAAAACCCCUGGAGCUGCUGCCACCCACUGCUCCGCACGAAUUAAACUGACAGCAGCUUUUUACACAGAAAAUAUAAAAGUCCUGACUGUGGGAGAAGAGUGCUGUGUGAACUUAUUUGGUUU